UUCAGCGCGAGGUGAAAUCUGGAGAAAGUCAGCAGGCAAAUUUUUGACCAGACAAGCAGAAAAUAUAUACAAGGUAUGAUAUACUGGGUAACACUAAGAUAAACUAAU
rnacentral:ncRNA from 1 species